GAUGAACGCUAGCUGGAGGCUUAACACAUGCAAGUCGAACGGUAAGGCCCUUCGGGGUACACGAGUGGCGAACGGGUGAGUAACACGUGGGUGAUCUGCCCUGCACUUCGGGAUAAGCCUGGGAAACUGGGUCUAAUACCGGAUAGGACCACUGCCUGCAUGGGUGGUGGUGGAAAGCUUUUGCGGUGUGGGAUGGGCCCGCGGCCUAUCAGCUUGUUGGUGGGGUGAUGGCCUACCAAGGCGACGACGGGUAGCCGGCCUGAGAGGGUGACCGGCCACACUGGGACUGAGAUACGGCCCAGACUCCUGCGGGAGGCAGCAGUGGGGAAUAUUGCACAAUGGGCGCAAGCCUGAUGCAGCGACGCCGCGUGAGGGAUGACGGCCUUCGGGUUGUAAACCUCUUUCAGCACCGACGAAGCGCAAGUGACGGUAGGUGCAGAAAAAGGACCGGCCAACUACGUGCCAGCCGCCGCGGUAAGAC
rnacentral:rRNA from 1 species